rnacentral:lncRNA from 1 species
CUUCUCCAGCUCCUCAACCCUCUACCCCAGCUCCUCAACCCUCUACUCCAGCUCCUCAACCUUCCACUCCAGCUCCUCAACCUUCCACUCCUACUCCAUCUUCUAGUCCAUCACCAGCUUCUACCCCACCACCUACCCCAGCUUCUAGCCCAUCACCACCAUCACCUACCCCAGCUUCUAGCCCAUCACCACCAUCACCCCCAGCUACCACACCACCAACUGCUCCUCCACCAAACUCUGCUACAUCCCUUGGUCUCGCUGGCUUUACCACUUUCUUGUCCAUUUUUGUAGCGUUGUGCUAUUAGAUUAGACGAGGUUGAGAGUUUGAUUAGUGUGAUUCAUUUCUGUG